ACAUUGAGGUAAAUCUGUUACAUAAUAAUUGUUAAUUAGUUUGCAUUAAACCAUUUUAAAGCUACUAUUUUUAUCUGACUCCACUGUUUCUAUAAACUAUAACAGGGCAAAAAGAUUCAUGCUACUGUGAAGAAGGAACUGGUGAGCAGAUAUGUCUCAAGCUUACCUGUUGGUCAUUGGGUGUUCAUUGAGAUCUUUGCUCUCAAUUAUGCCAGUGGCCAAUUUCGUCCAACCUCUCAUCUAUAUAAGAUGACUUUCACAAAUGGAACUCAUGUCUUUCCAUGUGAUCCUGUCUCUGACUCAAGUUACCUGUCACUAGCCAGUUUCAAAAGAAUUCAAAAUGGAGAUCUUAAUCCAUACAUAUUGGUUGGUAAGUAUCUUUUUUAUUUAAAGAUAUUAAAUAAAUCAAUCUACACUUUAGAAACAGAACAUGAUAUAUUUUUAUCUCUAUUUUUAUUUUAUAGAUGUAAUUGGCCAGAUUGUUAUGAUUGGAGAGUUGUUAACUCUUGAAGCCAAUAACAAACCAACUAGCAAGAUUGAGUUUGAAAUGAGAAAUGAAACGUAAGAAUUUUCAAUUUUUUGGUUAGUAUCUUUACUUAUCCUACUGAACAUGUUCUGUUUUGAACAUAAAAGUGAUGAAAGGAUCGGUGUUACCUUGUGGGGAUCAUUUGCUGAGACUGUUUACAGAGGAAGCCAGGAUGCUGGUGGACGUCCUGUUGUCUGUUUGUUGAGGUUUGUGAAGAUCAAAUCCUUCAAAGGUACAUAAAACAUAAUCUUAGCAACCAUAUCAAUAUACUGGGACCGUUUAUAUAGAAGUUAUGCCUCAUAAAUCUUAUUUGUAAUCUACAGGUGUAAAGACUAUGUCUAACUCAUUUGAUGCUUCACAAGUUUUUGUUAAUCCAGCAAUCCCUGAAAUUGCUGUGUUUGUUCAAAGGUACAUUUUGUAUGUGAUUUAAUAGUUUAUCCAAUUGUGCUUACUUCUGUACUAUGGAACUAACAUAUAUAUACAUGUUUUUGACAUAUAGUCUCCCAAGUGAUGGUGCAAUGUGUAUCUUCCGUGAGAGAGUCCCGAAGUUUGAGAUUGUUGUUGCCAAUCAGGAUGAUACUUCUUUAGAUCAUCCCAGGAAAACCAUUGUGGAUCUCCUCAACUCUGUCGAGGUAAUUAGUUAUGUUUACUAUCAUUAGAAAACGUUUUAAUGUCUAUAAAUAUCCAUAUUAAAAUCUACUUUUUUUCUAGAUUGGCAAGGCAAGGUUGAUGUGUACAAUCUAUGCAAUUGAUACCGACUGGGCUUGGUAUUACAUUAGCUGUCGUGCUUGCAAUAAGAAAGUCACACAUAUCCACCAUGGAGUGAAUGGUGUGAAUAACAAAGGGAAAAAGCCAAGGUUCUGGUGUGACACUUGCAAAUCUGUGGUCACUAAUGUCGUGGCUAGGUAAAAAAUUCUGAAAUAGCUAUGUUAUUAGUCUAUAGACGAAAAUUAUAUCUACAUAUACAUUAUUGUUUACAUUUUAUACAGGUUUAUGCUCUAUGCUAAGGUGAUGGACAACACUGGUGAAGCUAAAUUGUUGCUGUUUGAUUCAGUUUGCUCUGAAAUCAUUGGAGAGUCUGCUACAUCUGUGCUUAAUGGUUCCGUUGAUGAGGUUUGAUGCACUACUAUAUAUGUUAAUAUCUUUUUUACAUUGUUCUAGACACACAAAUUCCUGAAUAGUUUUUAAUUUCAGAUUGAUGAUCCGGAGAACAUACCAGAUGCAGUUAAAAAUCUAUUUGGAAGGACAUUUCUUUUCCUGGUGUCUAUUGAUAAAGAGAAUAUUUGGGAUGGGAAGGAGAUAUACAAGGUAUCUAAAGUGUUGCAGAAAGAUGGCCUUCUGCUUGAGGAACAAUUGCUGGAGGAUUCUCAUGAGUUGGUCAAUCCUGCAUCUAUUGUAUCUGGUGAUCAGGUGAUUGUUUUGUCAGAACAUAUUUAGCAUAGAACAAUUGUUAGUACAUGGAUCUUAAAACAAGCUAAGUUAUAGUAUUAAUUUCAUCGUUUGUUUUAUUACAGGUGCCACUAAUGCUGGAGAUGAGUCAAGAGACUUCUGACUCUGUCACUCCAUCAUCAAAACGUGUUUAUGCUGACAAUCCCGGUUCUUCUGAUCAUUCUUCUUCUUCUAAGAAGUUGUGCAUUGAACCUAUUGACUUUGGUGAUGAAGAUUCUAUUACUAAGGAUCAAGAGGCAAAUGUGAAGGACAUAGCUGCCAAGGUUGCUGUGGUGAUUAAUGAUGAUGCUUACAAAUCUGAGCCUAAGACUAACAAUGUUGUAUCCAAUGGUGGAGUGGGUACACAUGAGGUGAAGAAGGAGGGGAAAUGUGUUAAAGGUGUUGUGAAGGUCAAGGUUGAAAAGAAGUGAAGAAUGGUUGCUAUGAUUUGAUUUAUUACCUGCUUUGUUUUCUUAUUGCUUUCAGAUUUCUAAGACUUUGAUUUCUAUUAUUGCUUGCUAUUUUGUUUGGUGAUUUCUUUCUAUUGUUAGUCUUCGUUGGAUGCUAUUUUAUUUCAAUUUAUCAUUUCUUAAAAUUAUAGUCUUAAUCUAUAUUAAUUAACCUUGCAAAUAUAGUCUUUCGUGCUUACCCUAUAAUUCAUCUAUAAACCUAAUUAAUUAGAGAGCAUAAUAUAGAUACAUCUACAUAUAUGUGAAGUGCUAAGAUUCCGUAUAACUUGAUAUAUUUAGGAUAUUAAAAUUCUUAGAUGUAUAUAUAGUGUCUAUAUAUACUGUAUACUCAAUCUUUCAUAUUUGACAUGCAAUCUUCAAAAGUAAUCAUUUUGGUAACUGACAACUUUUCAAUCAUUAUCAAUGAUUCCCUAUAAUCUAAAAAAUAUAGAGUAUAUUAAUAAAACAAUUAAUAACGUUUCGAUUUCCCUUAUUUUCUUUAACAAUUUAUUAUGCCUCUUCAUCAAUAUCUCUAUAUAACCAAGUAGACCUAUCGUUUAGAAUUGAAAAAGAAACACUGUUACUUCCCUUCUCAAAGCAGAGCAGAAUCGUUAAAAAACAUGGUUGAUAUGCAUCUUUUUUCCCAAAUUCGUGUUAACUCUACAGAGUGGAGGGUUUAUGUUAAGAUAAUGCGUAUCUGGCAUCACAAUCCACCAUUGAAUGGUGAUGUAACCACCAUGAUUCUCGCAGAUGAAAAGGUUUGUUUGUAAUUCUUAUCUUCUGUUUUAAAACAUAGUGAAGAUCAUCCACUUACUUUCUUCUCUUACUUAAUAUCUCUUGACUUUUUUGUUUUUGUUUGUAUAGGGUAAUUUCUGCGAUGCAACAAUUGCUAGAAACAACUACAUUUUUAACUUUCAACCUGGACUCAAAGAAGGUUUGUGGUAUUACAUGUCUGACUUCCAACCAGUCGUACCCUCAGAAUACCAAGCCAGAUUUGCACCAUUUCCACUUCAGAUUAGGUGUAUCAGACAAACAACAAUGUGGCCUGUUAGAUCUAGGGGUUAUAGCAAUUUCUUUGACUUUAUGACUCAUGAUUCUAUCAGCAACCCUCAUCCAGAUGAUGGAACCUAUGUGACUGGUAAUAAAAGAGCCUAGGUUCAAGUUAUAUAGUUACCUAUUUAUAUGUCUUUCCAACCAUUUUGUGUUUUGUUUUUUUAGAUGCUAUGGGUGUGAUCUCUGCUGUGUCCACCAUUGGAAGGUUUCCCUUUGUUUGUCGUCCUGGUGAGACAGAUUAUGAAGCUCGCUAUGUCUGUUUCAAGAUUGCUAACAAUGUGUAAGUUUACUAUAUUUCUGUCUAAUUUUGUACAAGAUUCAAAAUUUUGUUAUCAUGUUAUAUCUGUUAAAAACAAUAUGCUUUGAUGGCUACAUGAAAUCUAGGGGUGAGACUAUCAAAUGCGUUGCUAUUGGUAAGUGGUGUGAGUUCUUUAUCAACGCUUGGUCCAGAAGAAUUAGCUCUGUAGAUUACAACUAUGAUAAGAUAGUUGCAUUCUUGCGUUUCUGGAGGAUCUCAUCGUACUGUGGUAGGUUUUAAUGAGAUUUUGCUAUUGCUGAACUUAUUUUUGCAGUGUUAUAUUGACUGUGUUUAUUAUUGUACUAUAGGAAAAAAUGUCUUAAUGAGUGAAUCUUGCUGUUCACGUCUCUACAUUGAUCCCAUUUUCUAUGAGCUAGACUUACCAAGCUACCUGUAAGUAUCGUUUAUAUUUUACACUUCUUUUAUGUUUUUCAUUUUUCAGUGUUAACAUAAAUGCAACUAUAUUUCUGUUAGGCGCUCUUUCGAAGAUACUUCAAGUGAUGAGGAAGAUGUCAUGAUGGAGAUGGUUGAGGAGAACUAAUUAUUGUGAGGGAUAUCUGUGCAUGUUCUACGGUGGCUAGCUCUUUUGAAGAACUCUGAAUGUUUUGGUGUUAUGUUUUAAGUUUAUGUUUUGAACUCUUAAUGUUUUUAAUUUUCUUUUUGUUUAUUAUCAACUACUACGGCAACUCUGCACAAGAGUUUGCAAACUUUCUUUCUAUUUAAUAUUUUAUCUGUAUUGAAUCUGUUUGACAAUUUAUGUGGUUUUUUGGUAUUUUGAUGUCUACAAGUUUAAGAUAGGUCUGUUAAAAGAAAAAAGGUUAUAAAUUAAUUAUGAAUUUAAUUCUAACUAAAUCUCAAACAGUAACUAUUUAGGUUAAUUCGUUUACUUUAGUAAAUUAAAUGAUUUGGUUUAAGAAAAUGUUUAGAAAACAUACCUAGAUAUUAAAGGUAUUGGUUAGCUUUAGACAAGCAUCAAUCAAGAUAAGCAUCUAUCAAGAUCCUCAUUGCUUGCUGUAUUUCCUUAAUCUGUGUAAUUAUAAACAUAUCAGUUAGUAUAUGAAUCACUAACGAUAAUAUUGGACAGAUUUUCUAAAUAUUAUCAUUGAACCAUCUAACUUGAUCUCAAUGCCUAGAAUAUAGUAACUGUCUAUAUUUUAUCAACAGAUCAAUAUUACUUGAUCAAUGGCGUAUCUGCCAUUUAAUUUUUAAAAGGCUAUUUCAGUAUGAAGUUCAUUGUUUAUCAGAAGAACCAUUUUGCUUAAACUCGCUGUUUUUCUUUUGUUUGCAAAUAUGAAAAAAAAGCCAGACUACCCUCUUUUAGACUUGAACUCUUCACCUACACCAGCUAAAAGAUCCCGUGUUACUCAAACUCCAACAUCGCAGAGCCAAAUUACUCAAACUACUAGCUCUAAGCCUAACUACCCUCUUAUAGAUUUGAAUUUCUCACCUAAAACAGCUAAAACAGUCCAGUUUGGUCAAACUCCAACAUCGCAGAACCAAAUUACUCAAGCUACUGGCUCUAAGCAAUACUAUCCUCUUAUAGACUUGAACUCUUCUCCUAAACCAGCUAAAAGAUCACGUGUUAUUCAGACUCCAACACCGCAGAGCCAAAUUACUCAAGCUACUGUCUUUAACACAAAUGGUGUUGUCCCUCUAAAAUCAGCCUUUAGCAGAGUGUUUAGAGAUAUUACCAAUCUUCCUUGCAGAAAUGAUGAAACAAGUAAGACCCCAAGGAGUCCGCAGCAAUCAUUAUCUUCAAAACAUACACAACAACCACUUGGUCCUGCUCUUCCUACUUCAUGCUUAGGC
rnacentral:lncRNA from 1 species